rnacentral:rRNA from 1 species
AACGAACGCUGGCGGCAGGCUUAACACAUGCAAGUCGAACGAGAUCUUCGGAUCUAGUGGCAGACGGGUGAGGAACACGUGGGAACAUCCCUUCCAGUUCGGAAUAACGUUGGGAAACUAACGCUAAUACCGGAUACGUCCUUCGGGAGAAAGAUUUAUCGCUGAAAGAUUGGCCCGCGUCUGAUUAGCUAGUUGGUGAGGUAAUGGCUCACCAAGGCUACGAUCAGUAGCUGAUAUGAGAGGAUGAUCAGCCACAUUGGGACUGAGACACGGCCCAAACUCCUACGGGAGGCAGCAGUGGGGAAUAUUGGACAAUGGGCGCAAGCCUGAUCCAGCCAUGCCGCGUGAGUGAUGAAGGCCUUCGGGUUGUAAAGCUCUUUUAUCCGGGAAGAUAAUGACUGUACCGGAAGAAUAAGCCCCGGCAAACUUCGUGCCAGCCGCCGCAGUAA